GCUCAGCAUGCCGGGCAUUGCGAACUGCAUAACCUGCCUCACCGCCUACCUCUACCGGGACUCCUCUCUGUUUCACCUUUUUCUUUCCCAUGAAGAUGGUAGAAAGUAAUAUAGGUAUGAGGAUAGCAGCAGCCACAACGCCAUAUGUUCCAUAGCCUUUCCCAACUGACGAGUAAUCAUUAGAGUCCAAUUUAUCCAGAACAGGUGUGCUCGGAAAACUUCCCUCGGAAUCAGCCAUUUUCAAUGCUUCUUAUAUGAUGGUUUAAAGAAUCACCUGGGAUGGAUGACAAGAAUUAGAAGCACCAUCAUCUCCCAUCUUUCAAAAAUGAGAAACAAACACCAGAGCUACAAGGAUUUGUACAAAAUAUAAUACCGUUUAAAAUAAAGGAGAGACAGCACAGUGGAUCUAAGGAUGUUCCUUGGUGUAUAAAACUUGCAUUAAGGUAAAGAACAUGCAGCCAUACACUGCAACCUCAAAACCAAGUUCCUUAAUGAUCAGGAACCAAAGUAAACAUUAGUUGUUUCACUGUAAAUUAACCAACAGUCAUAGGUCACAUAACUUUGAAAAAGAAUCGCAAUUUACUCAAAUUUAAGAAAGGAACUGCAAAAGAAAAAAGGAUUAAAAAAAAGAAGCAAGCAAGAUGGGAUCAUAGAUCAUAGAAUAGAAUAUAAAGAAGGCAGCAAGGAUAUAAAGCUUGUUAACAUCAAAGCACUGCUGAAUCCAAAAGUACUACUCUAAACUCAAUAAAAAGAAAGAGAACACCACUACUACUCUGCUGUGUUUCUAUAGCUUUUACCUCUGGAAUAUUAUAGGAACCGAAGGAAAAAGAAAGUAAGCAGUCUUGGACUUUUACCCUGUCUCCCACUCUCACCUUUUUCUUUCUCUUUAUGUUCCUCCUCUUCCUCCUCCCCCCAAUAUAUACACUGUUCUUUUCUCUUUGCUUUGGCACCACUUCUGAUCGUUACUUUAAGUAGUUGAACUGGUAGUACAACAAGUGUAUUUUCUCUUUGAAUUUUUUUGAGUUUCAAUUUUAAAUUCAUUUAUAAAAAAUUGUUCUCUCAAAAUACUCGAAUAUAUAUAUUCUUAAAAAAAAAAAUCUUAACUGAUCUCGUAACGUAAAAUAAAAGAAAGCACUGCUACUAAAAAAAUAAAACAUUGGGAAUUGUAUGAUAAUUUAAAAUUCCACUUGGCAUUCCAGAAGGGAGAGUGGCGUGCUAACCAAGCACAAUCCCUUUGCCAUGUAGACACGUGUCUCGUGGGUGACGUCGCUAUUAUUAUUAUUAUUUGUAUUAUUUUACUUAAUCAUUAGUGGCGGUAACAAAGAUAGAAGAAUGGAGCGGGGGAGGGAGGCGCACACCUCGACUGGAGAUCCCGGAGACCGUCUCCGAUCCAAUCAAGUAAUGAGAAAAACACUUAGGGUUUGGAAGGUUAUACUAGUUGAUGGGUGAUGGCUAAAACAGAAGAGAAAAGAAGAUGCUCCGUCAUGAUAAGCCUAGAGGCAGCCAUUUAUGACCUCUGGAGCUGAGUUUUCUAGAAGGUUUAAAACCACAGGCUGCAAAUGUAAUGCUCCAUCUAGAAGACUAGCCAGCACUCGGUAUUUUGGCAAUGUUCACACUGGCCACCUGAGGCAGAAUUAAGCAAACCAUUAGCUCAGGAUCUCGGACAUGCAAAGCAAAUCGAGCACAGAAGUUGCUCAGUUUUCAUCACACAAUCCAUAAUAACCUGAAACAGGUGUUCCUGUUUUUCUACGAUUUUAUUUGCAGUGCUUUGCCCUCGAGCAAAGCCAUGUUAGUACAAUCAGAUACAUUGAGCAUCAUAAUCGUCACAUUGGGCAUCAUACAAGGAGGGUGUUUCAUGUAAUUGUUGGCUGUGAGACACUAUGAAUUGCGUUUAACACUUUCUUCCACACGAGUGAGGGCAUCUGUGAGCACAUCUAUUGUCCAGUCCUUCAAAUCGUCCUGCAGAUAACAAGAGAAAAAUCAUUGAACACGACAAUUAGCAUCCGCAUGGAAGUACCUUAGAAGGGAAACACGUUUUGUUUGCUAUUUUGCAAAAUAGAUGAGAAAGCUGUUUGAGGAAAUUGGAAAGCAUUUCCCAAGUAUCAGAUUAGCAGAUUACAACAAUUUACUUGACCGAUUGUAUCAUGAAUGCGAAAACCAUAAUUUUCAGCUUGGUAUGCAAGAACAAAUAGAGGAUCAUCCAGGGUAACAACACAGAUGAAUGGCUGAGACUCUGAAACAGAGAAACUUCAAAACAAACCAUGUUAUAGAAAACAGUCAAAACAAUCAACUAUCACCGUAGGAUAUUCACUUCUAGGGUAAGAAGCAAUGGCUACAUAAAUGAUGUUCUUUACUGUUUAAUGUUAAUGGCAACUGUGAGCACAAUAAUUAGCACCAGAUUGCUGGCUUGCUACUGAUAAAUAACAAGUUGCAGCAACAUUAAAAUCAAGGCAUAUGCAACUAAUAAUUCCUAAUGCUUUGCGUUUGAGGCCAGGCAAUUCUUUUUCUUUUCUUUUUUUCUUUUAGGGAACCAGACCAUGCAUUUGUUAAAAACACCUGAAAAUAACAUUACUAGAUGUUAAGCAAGCCGGGAGCUGCAUUGCGUCUGUUGAGCAUCAUGUCCACCACCUCAUCAACUUAGAUUGAGAGUGACUUGACAAACGAAAAGAAUCAAAUUUUGUAAUAGCAUACUGUUAUGCAAUGUCAACAUGAGAUUCACUGAGAAAGCAUUUUCAUGAUAAUAUUCAUUAUCGAUUGACUGUUUCCUAAUAUCAGGAGAAAAAGGAUGCAAAACUAAGCAAAAAUGUACAAAGAUGUGCAGCUAGAUAUCCAAACAAACCAAACUGUGGUAGUCUCCAUAACCACAGUUGGCAUCAUCACAUUCACAACCUAGCACGUGCAGUAUCCCUGACAGUCUGGCAACCCCUAAGCAACAUAUGUCCCUAAUAUUUCGGAUACCACAUAUGAUUGGUGAUGGCAUACUCUAUGGAAAUCACAAUUUAACAAACUAAAAGGUAAAAACAAUUGACAGAAUGCAAGUUAAUUACAGCAAGAUGCAAGAAAAUAAGCUUUGUAGCAUAAGUAUGCAUCUUCCUACAGUCCCACCACUACAUGUUGGACAUCCUCUUAUAAAAGCUGCAUUGCUGUUCAUAGCAUCAAGGACAAAAAAAUCAGGCAGAUGUAACAUCCUUUAGCUAAACAAUGGGCGACAGCUCACAAUUAUACCAUAACCACGUCUUAUAGAUUAGCUUGUUAAGGGGUAAAAGAUGUGAACAAAUGCACUCCCUGUCUUUACAGUCAUCCCUAUGAUGGACAUGAGUUUAUCAGCCAGACUACAUAAUGAAGUAGUAACGAAAAGAACAGGAUGCCUCACCGUGCGCACCGGUUCUUCAGUUCUUAUGCGUGCAUUAGGACGAGCAAGCUUGGAUUCAAAAGGAGUCCUAGGCCUCACUUCUCUAAACUCCUCCCAUUCCUCGCGAGUAAGCAUCCUAACUGUGCCUUGACCAACUGGGGCAUUCUUAAUUUUGCGCUCUAUCAUUUCUUGCGAGUGUGAAUCAUCAUACUUGAGUUCAAUUACCAGACAACAAAAUCAAUCCAUUUAAUUCAGUAAUCAACAAAAUCCAAAACCAAUCAAAAUCGGAAUGUCACGACAUACCAUCAUGAGUAGCUUUGCAAAGAGUGCAGUUCCAACAACAGUGAGAAUCAUGGGCAUAGUUGCAGUGUCAAGAAAUGACAUGGAUUCUGGAACCUGGACAAAAAUGUCGUCUUUUUUUUUAGACUUCUUCUUUGACCUCCUUAUUUUCUCCAAUUCCGUUACUCUUCUCUUCAAUGUUUCCGUGGCACCAUCACGGGACACUGUUGUAUGAAAGUGUCUCCCACGUGACAAAACUGCUUUCCCAAACCCUAAACCAAUACCACCAUACAUGACUUUUCAAGACCAAUCACGCAAUUGAUUCGGCCCCAAUUGAAUCGGAGAGAGAGAGAGAGAGAGAAGGAUCUUGCAUCAUUUACAGACCUCCAUUGCAGUGAGCUGGAGAUUUUCUUAGGGUUUAAAUGAUCAAGGAAAGUGAGAUGUAAGAGAAGGAGAAAGGUCUGAUUUUUGAAGUAUUUGGUGGGCUGUAUACUUAUUUCACUGCCUUUCGAGCCCAACCCAUUAACUCAAUCAUGACUCAGCCUGUCGUGCUAAAAAAACAAUUUCUAGCGCUAUAAAAUUUAAAAAAUAAAUUUAUUUAAAAUUAAUAAUUUUUUUAUUUUUAAAUUAUUUUAAUACAUUGAUGUUAAAAAUAUAUAUAAAAAAAAUAUGUGUUAUAUACAUCAUUUUCUUUUUACUUUGAUAAGUCUUUUAAUUUAAAUUUUUUUUUUAAUUUUAUUAUUCAAUAUUAAAUUAGUCUUAAUUAAACUUGGAUGUACAAUUUUAUGAGUUGUAAAUCUGAAAUAUUAAUCAAGGUUUAGAAAAUUUUUUAUUCUUAAAUUAAUCAAGGUUACUAUUAUCUUUUUACAUCUUCUUUGCAAAGUUAAAUUACUUCAAUACACUUAAAAGCAAAACAAUACUUAACUUAGGUCUCUGGGUUUUUUCCUUAAAUUUCACUCUUAAAACUUGAUUUUAGAGGGUUAGCAGUGAUUUUAAAGGCAAUAUAAUCUUUUAAUAAUAUCAAUAAUAAUCAUUAAAAACAAUUUUAUUAUUUUUGGUUCCAUCCUUUGAUGUUGGAUUGGUUGGAAAUAGACUUUAUGAGUGAUUUUUUUUGUAUUUUGUAUAUGAUUACCAUGGUUUUAAGCAAAUGUUUAUCUUAAUGUUGAUGCUUGAAAUUACGAGUAUCUAUUAUUUUUUCUGCUACCUUUUCCCCUCUUAUUAUCUUUUUUAAUGAAUUGUUAUUGUGUAUCUUAGUUUUUAUUUUUUGAAGUUUUUUUUGGUUUAUUGUUAUCUGUUUUGGGAUUCAUUAUCAAUUAUAAUUGAUAUUUUAUUAUUGAUUUUGAAGAAAUUUGAUUUUUUGAUUAUGUCAAGUCAAAAACUACUAGCUAAAAACAUCUUUUUUUAAAAAUUUCAUUUAUUUUGUUGGUUAUAUCUUUAUUGUCACAAGAGGUUUGGUGUUAAAAAGACUUUGUUUCUUUGAGAUUAUUUUUUGGUGGUUAUUAAUGCUACCAAUGAGAGCCUUUCUAGUAUUUGAAUAGAAAAUAUAAAAAAUUGAUUAUGAUUUGUCAAUGGUUAAAGAAAGUAUUUAAAGGAAUAUAAAAAUGAUUAUAUUAGGGAUUCAAAUGAGAAUGUGCUGAAUUAAUAUCAUAUCAAUCAUCAUGGUUGUUAUAACCCUGACAAGAUUAAAAAAAGAAAUAUUUAUGUUGUUAUAUAACUUCCUUGUGGUGUCUUUCAGAACUUUUUUUGUAACAACCCUAAUAUUUGUAUUCAAAACAGAUAGUAAAGACAUGAUAAUUCAAUUAAGAUGAGGGAUUUUUUUUCUGUAAUCAAUAAAAAAUUCGGUAGAGUUUCCUCUAUAUUAUUAGGUAUCAAGUUAUCGACUCUUCUUCCACAAUCCCCAUUAACAAAUCUCUUACUUGUCCUAUCAUCCAGUACAUCAUCCUCUCAUUACAUCACAACUUCUCAAUAAUUAAAUUCACAUAUGUCUAAACAAUUCAAUAUCCCAUAUUUACAUGGAUGCAAUCUAAAGAAUUAUUCUAAAAACGGUAACUGAAGUACAUUACAUAAUUCAAAGAUUUAUAAAUAAGGGUCGUUAAUGAAAUUAUAAUCGAAAUAAGUUCAUAAUUAAAGAAGAAAUUCAUAAUAUAGAUUAUACUACACAAAGAGCAUUUGAUAAAUUGUAGACGCAUUAUAUUACAUAACAAAAGGAUAAAUUCAUUCAUUACAACAUGAUAUUCAACAAAAUAUAAGGAACUAAUCUACUGUUCAGUCUUGUAGGGGGAUGUACCUGAAAAUAGAUUUAAUACAAUAAUUCAAUUAGACAAAUAAAAAUAAAAAGACAUUUAUAAAAUUAUUUCUACUUUCUUUCUUUUUCUUUUUCUUUUUAAAAUUUAGUCAAAAGAUCAUUAAAUUAACUUGCUCAUCUAGUAUUAUUAUAUAUCAAUUAAAUUUCAGAAUAAUCUACCAGUCCAUUCAACAAGCACGGUUGUCAUCAGUCCAAAAACUAAUUCAACAUUUCACCCAUUCAUCAAGGUACAAAUCCCAUUAACCAGGGAAUUAAUUAUUCAUCUCGCCCAUUUUCCAGGGCACUAAUUCCAUUAAAUCAGGAAUUAGUUCAACAACUUACCCAUUCACUAGGGUAUUAAUCCCAUUAUCCAGGGAUUCAAUUUCUUACAACGCCCAUUCACCAGGGCACUAAUCCCAUUCAUUCAGGAAUUAAUUCAUCAUAUCGCAUAUCUUAUUUUCUCAAGUAAACAACAUAAUAAUUUCUAAUAUAUCAACCACAAUCAAUCCGAUAAAAAAAAUACAUAUUGUCUAAUGUUAAAUUCAGGUAUCGUGUAAUUACCUGACGACUGAGCUCGAGCCGUAGUUCCCUGCUGUGGUGUCGGCCUGGCAGCCUCUCCUGAAUUGACAUGUAUAUCACAUCAUUAAUCUACUUUCCAUAUCGAAACACUCAAUAAAUAAAAUCCUUCCAAUUAUCCUUUCAUUUGCCAAAAUAAAAUUUAGAGAGAACAUGAAAAACUUCCUUCUUCUUUUUUUGUAAAUUUCCUUCAUAUUCUUUCAAUUUCCACAUUGUAACACAUAACAUUUCAUCAUUCAAAACAAUAUAUAUAUUCUUUAAAUGUAUUUAUUUAAAUUUAUUUUACCAAAAUUUAAAUUAAAGGUAAACAUAAAAAAAAAAAAAUUCAUGAUCCAUUCUCUCUUUAACAUUAAUAUCAUCUCUUUCCUACACAAUCUCAUCAUCUUAUUCAAAUUCCUAAAUUUUUAUUCUUCUUAUUAUUAUUUUUCCAAAAAAAAUCUCUUUUUCAAGAACACCUAAAAAUUUGCUUCAAUUUCCAUAAUUUCCUACUUUCUCUCCUCACUUCAACAAUCUUAACACAAUUUCACAAUCAAUUAUAAUUUCCCCAAAAAUUUAUCAUGAACCCUAAUUCUUUAUUUCACAAAGUUCAAUCAAUUUAAAGUAUUUAUUCAUCAAGAAUCUUAUUUAAAAGUGUAAGGGCACUUUACCAAAUAAUAGCCAAAGCUUUAACACUUUGGUAUUGAAACUUUUCCUUGCUUGAAUUAUUUUUACUCCUCUUUUGGCCAAAUGCUUCUUCUUCCUCUUUGAAAGGUAAGUUUGAUUUUAUUUUUCUUUCUCCUCACACACACACACUUGCACUCACACACACACACACACACACACACACACACAAGUGUGUGCAGAAGAAAACAUUAGCCCACACACAUAUAUAUAUACAGUUUUUUUUUUUUUAAUACCAUCCAUGUCCCUAAAUUUUUUUUCUUUCCUUCCGUGCACAUACUUUAGUCCACAUUAUUUCUUUCACUUUUUUUUUUAUGCCUUCUAUAUCCCUCAAUAGUAACUUUUAAGAUUUUGGGUAAAAUUUCUCGAAUCCUGAUACCUGUUUAUACCAAAUCUUGCCCGUGUUAUAUUGAAUUUCACUAAGUUACUCGUUGGUACUUUUAGUUUCAUGAAAUUCACUUCUAAAAAAAAUCUCAUUAACAUUUUCGUGUAUAUUUAUUUUUUUAUGUAUAUUAACACUUGAACAAAACAUUUUAAUUCAAAUUCUCAAAUACAUCAUCAUUCUUAUAAUUUAAUUUAUCCAUUUUCCUUAUUUUUUUUUUAUAAUCCUGACUUUUCUUAAUAUCAAUAAUAUUAUCUAGGGUUUUACAUCCUCCCCUCCUUAUAUAAAUUUCGUCCUCAAAAUUAAAUUCUUACCAGUAUUUAUGAAUAACUCAGGAUACUUCCUUCUCAUUUCGGACUCUCUUUCCCACGUUACUUCUUCGAUUUGCAAACUUCUCCAUAACACCUUAAUCAUAGGAAUUUUUUUAUUUCUCAGUUCUUUUUCACUAUAAUCCAGCACCUUCACUGGUUUCACUUCCAGAGUCAAGUCUUCUGCAAUCUCCAAAGGAACUUGUGGUAGGACUCGAGAUGGAUCUACUUCAGCCUUUCUUAACAUCGAAACAUGGAAUACAUCAUGGAUCUUAUUUAGAUGUGAGGGCAAGGCCAAUCUGUAAGCCACCGAUCCAAUCCUUUCAAGGACUUCAUAGGGACCAAUAUACCUCGGGCCAAUUUCCCUUUCAUUUCAAAUCUUAACAUGUGUUUCCAGGGAGCGACCUUCAAGUAUACUCGAUCACCCACAUUAAACUCAAGAGGUCUUCUUCGAACAUCUGCAUAGCUCUUUUGUCUAUCUUGAGCGCUUUCAUUCGGUCUUUUAUGAUUUUCACUUUUUCUGUGGUGAUUUGAACCAUCUCAGGUCCAUUUAACUUCCUAUCCCCUACCUCUUCCCAACAUAAUGGUGUUCGACAUUUUCUUCCAUACAAGGCUUCAUACGGUGCCAUCCCCACAGUUGCCUGGUAGCUGUUAUUAUACGUAAACUCUACCAAUGGUAGAUGAUCCUCCCAAUUGCCCCAAAUUCUAAUAUGCAAGCCCUCAACAAAUCUUCCAGGGUUUGAAUUGUUCUUUCUGUCUGCCCAUCAGUUUGAGGGUGAAAUGCUGUACUUAAAUUCAAUCUUGUCCCCAAAGCCCGUUGUAUGCUUGGCCAUAAUCGAGAUGUGAAUCUAGGAUCCCGAUCUGAUACUAUAGACACUGGCACUCCAUGCAAUCUUAUUACCUCAUUUACAUAUAAUUGUGCCCGUUUAUCAAUCGAAUCUGUCUUUCUCAUAGCCAAGAAGAGAGCAGACUUGGUCAAUCUAUCCACUAUGACCCAAAUAGCAUUAUUGCCUUUUCCCUUUAGGCAGACCUGAUACAAAGUCCAUAGAAAUGUCUUCCCACUUCCAUUGAGGUAUCAAUAAUGGUGUAAAGGCCCUGCAGGCUUCUGGUGCUCCACCUUUACUUGCUGACAUACACCACUUAGCCACAUAUUCAGCUACAUCUUUCUUUAUUCGGCCACCAGUAACAUUCUUUUAAAUCUUGAUACAUUUUAGUACUCCCAGGAUGAGUUGCAAAUCUAGACUCAUGUGCUUCUUGCAACACUUCUCUUUUUAGUGCUUCAUCAUCAGGUAAAUACAUUCGUUUUCCAAAUGCUAUCAUUCCAUCCUCCAGGAUUUGGAAGGAAGUCCCAACUCCUGACUUCACACUGUCCUUUAUUUUGCCGACUUUGUCAUCAUUUUGUUGUGCUUCUAAUACUUUAUCCUGGAGUAUCGACCUUACUCGCAAUUGGGCAAUUAAAGAACCUCUAGGUCCAACUUCUACCUUAGUAUUUAACUUCCUUAACUCAAGCAAUUCUCUUUCAUCAUUGUCAUCUAAAACAACAUCUAUCAUCUUAUUUUUUCGGCUAAGGGCAUCUAUAACCACAUUUGCUUUCCCCGGAUGAUACUCUAUUACACAAUCAUAAUCCUUAAUUAACUCCACCCAACGUGUUUGCCACAUAUUCAAUUCCUUUUGCGUCAUUAGAUACCUCAAACUCUUAUGAUCGGUAAAUAUUUGAACUCGGGAUCCAUACAAAAAAUGCCUUCAUACUCUGAGAGCAAAUACAACAGCUGUCAAUUCUAAAUCAUGCACUCGAUAAUUAAUCUCAUGAGUUUUUAAUUGUCUUAAGGCAUAGGCAAUCACUUUACCGUGCUGCAUCAAAACACAACCCAAUCAUUUCCCUGAAGCAUCACUGUAAACUACAAAUCCUUCAGUCCCAGAUGGAAGUGUUAACACGGGUGCGGUUGUUAGCCUCUUUUUCAGCUCCUGGAAACUUUGUUCACACUCAUCGGUCCAUUCCUAUUUUGUCUCCUUCUGCGCCAGUCGAGUCAUCGGGAUAGCUAUAGUGGAGAACCCUUCAAUGAAUCUCCUGUAAUAUCCUGCUAAUCCAAGAAAACUACGAAUCUCAGUCACAUUCGUAGGCCUCUCCCAUUUCAGCACAGCUUCAACCUUUCUAGGAUCUACUAGUAUUCCUUGAGCUGAUAUAACAUGUCCUAGAAAAACUACCUCUUUCAACCAAAACUCACACUUACUUACUUUGGCAUACAAUUAAUGCUCCCUUAAGGUUGAUAACACUUGUCUCAAAUGGUGUUCAUGUUCCAAAUAUGAAUUGGAAUAGAUCAAAAUGUCAUCUAUGAAUACUACCACAAACAUAUCCAGAUAAGGUCGAAAAACCCAAUUCAUUAAGUCCAUAAACAUUGUCGGUGCAUUUGUUAACCCAAAUGGCAUUACUAGAAACUCAUAAUGUCCGUACUGAGUCCUAAAUGUAGUCUUUAUCACAUCUUGUUCUUUUAUUCUUAAUUGAUAAUACCCGGAUAUGAGAUCUAUCUUCGAAAACACCUUCACUCCUUUAAGUUGAUUAAACAAAUCAUCUAUUCACGGGAGUGGAUAUUUAUUUUUUACUGUUACUCUAUUUAAUUGUCUGUAAUCAAUACAGAGUCUAAGGGUCCCAUCUUUCUUCUUUACAAAUAAUACUGGAGCUCCCCAGGGGGAAUUACUUGGACGGAUAAAUCCUUUAUCCAGUAUUCUUGUAGCUAAAUUUUCAACUCGGCUAAUUCUGCAAGCACCAUUCUAUAUGGUGGUUGAGCAACAGGUGUGGUCCCGGGUAGUACAUCAAUGGAAACUUCCACUUUCCUAUCUGGUGGUAACCCCGGUAAUUCAUCUGGGAACACGUCUGUAAAUUCUCUCACUAUAGGGAUGUUUGUCAAUUCUCCAGUUUUUUCUUUCGAAUCUAACAUGUAAGCAAGGUAAGCUUCACAUCCCUUUUUAACCAUCUUCCUUGCAGUCAUAACCGAGAUGAUGCAAUUCGGUAUAACGUUCUUUUCCCCUCUAAAAAUCACUCUAUUUCCAUUCGGUCCCUGGAGAGUCACCGUUUUUGCAAAGCAGUCCAUUUGAGCCUUAUAUACACUUAACCAAUCCAUACCUAGUAUUACUUCAAAAUCCUGUAAUUCCAAGGGAAUUAAAUCUACUCCCAACUCGAGCCCAUCUAUACUAAUCCCAAUUCCCUUGCAGAUUACAUCAAUGACUACAACUUCACCUAAAAAAGUACUUAUCAUAAAUCCUCUAUCUACCCUGCUAGGUCUUUUUUCUAUUUUCCUCAUAAUUUUAUUAGCCAUAAAUGAAUAUGUAGCCCCAGGAUCAAUUAAUGCAUGUACAGGUAAUGAAUUUAACUGUAAAGUACCUGCUACUAUAUUUGGGCGACUUUGACCUCUUCCUGUGUCAUACGAAAUACUCUGCCCUGGGUCCUGUCACCCUACAUCCUAGGCCGACCUCUAUUUCCACUAGCCCCCGACUGUGCUGGUCUACCCGGUCUAUCCACAGUGAUAGACUGUUGCUAGCUUUGGGUUUAUUGUCUCUAUCCUUGUAUGAACUCGGCUCUCUGUGGACAAUCUCUACGGAUGUGUCCUUGUCCUCCAUAAUAGUAACAUCAUCUGCCUAAAUAAGAGCAAUCACGCCAUCUAUGCCCCUUAGCCCUGCAAAUAUAGCAUCGUCCUAGUGUCACUGAAUAAUCUCCUGGAUGUCUCUGCUCAUACCGAACACAUUGGGGAUAAGAUAAAGCAUUUAAUCCUGAUGUCCCUCCAGUGGAACCUUCCUGAAAAGAUGUUUGUCUACUAGUAGUCCCAGCACCAGUACUCUGAAUAGGCCUAGAUACUGCUCCUCCCUUCCUCUUAAACUGGUUGAACUGUCCCUUACCCUUUUUAGAAAAAGGAGGUCUGCUUGAGGAAAAAUCGAUAUCCUUCCUUUUACCCACCUAUGUCUGACUUUGCUGCCCUUCAACUAUACAUGCCUCAAGAGCUUGUGCUACCUCUAUAAGUUCUCUGGUUGUCCCAAAUCUAAGUGCUAUUAGGCCUUGUCUUAAAUCCUGGCGUAAUCCAUCCCGUAGUCUAUCAAUCAUGUAUUGUUUAGUGGGAACAAAUUGUGGAGCAAACAUAGAAAGAUCAUGAAAUCUUCUUUCAUACUCAAGUACCGUCAUACCCUCCUACCUCAAAGCUAGAAACUCCUACUCCUUCAUCUUCCGAUGAUAUGAUGAUUAAAACUGGUUCUCAAACUGAACUUUAAAUUCAGUCCAUGUCCAAGACCCCACAGGCCUCCUAGAUCGCAUUGUAUCCCACCAUGAUCGUGCUCUAUCUGAUAAUAAGUAGGUGGUACAAUUUACUCGUAAAUCCUCUGUCACCCAAAUCUGUUCCAUAAUGUCCUCCACCCGAAUCUGUUCAUCUACCUGCUGUCUCAGCAUCAAGCUCUCCUGAAAAUGAGUCACAUCCUAACUCCCGCAUACUCUUCACUACCCGAACUAGUGUAACCAUAUUAUCCACUAGUGUAGGGGCAACUUGCGGUAUCUAUGUUGUUGGUGCCACUGGAGGUGUCGGUACUGGUAAUUGAGGCAUCGUCUUUAUUACAGCUCUCACAAUCUGGGCUAUAAACACUGGAUCAGGAUAUGGUGCAGGGGCUAUCGUUGGCACUGCUGUUGUUGGAGGAGGCACCUCUUUUAGAUGAGGCGUUGCAGGUAUGUGAGAGACUGAGUCCUCCAAACAAUCCUCUCUCUCACUAUGUUCGAACCCGGGAUCUUGACCCAAUUCCCGUGUUGGAGAGCGAUCUGCCAUUCACCUCGUCUUAUGUGCACUACCCUAAACCAAUUUGAUACACAUCAGAUUCCAAUUCAAUUCCUGAACCCAAACUAGGGCUUUGAUACCAAAUGUAACAACCCUAAUAUUUGUAUUCAAAACAGAUAGUAAAGACAUGAUAAUUCAAUUAAGAUAAGGGAUUUUUUUUCUGUAAUCAAUAAAAAAUUCGGUAGAGUUUCCUCUAUAUUAUUAGGUACCAAGUUAUCGACUCUUCUUGCACAAUCCUCAAUUAACAAAUCUCUUACUUGUCCUAUCAUCCAGGACAUCAUCCUCUCAUUACAUCACAACUUCUCAAUAAUUAAAUUCACAUAUGUUUAAACAAUUCAAUAUCCCAUAUUUACAUGGAUGCAAUCUAAAGAAUUAUUCUAAAAACGGUAACUGAAGUACAUUACAUAAUUCAAAGAUUUAUAAAUAAGGGUCGUUAAUGAAAUUAUAAUCGAAAUAAGUUCAUAAUUAAAGAAGAAAUUCAUAAUAUAGAUUAUACUACACAAAGAGCUUUCGAUAAAUUGUAAACGCAUUAUAUUACAUAACAAAAGGAUAAAUUCAUUCAUUACAACAUGAUAUUCAACAAAAUAUAAGGAACUAAUCUACUGUUCAUUCUUGUAGGGGGAUGUACCUGAAAAUAGAUUUAAUACAAUAAUUCAAUUAGACAAAUAAAAAUAAAAAGACAUUUAUAAAAUUAUUUCUACUUUCUUUCUUUCUUCCUUUUUUUUUUUUGUAAAUUUAGUCAAAAGAUCAUUAAAUUAACUUGCUCAUCUAGUAUUAUUAUAUAUCAAUUAAAUUUCAGAAUAAUCUACCAGUCCAUUCAACAAGCACGGUUGUCAUCAGUCCAAAAACUAAUUCAACAUUUCACCCAUUCAUCAAGGUAUAAAUCCCAUUAACUAAGUUAACUCAACAAUAACUUUUAAGAUUUUGCGUAAAAUUUCCCGAAUCCUGAUACCUGUUUAUACCAAAUCUUGCCCGGGUUAUAUUGAAUUUCACUAAGUUACUCGUUGAUACUUUUAAUUUCAUGAAAUUCACUUCUAAAAAAAAUCUCAUUAACAUUUUCGUGUAUAUUUAUUUAUUUAUAUAUAUUAACACUUGAACAAAACAUUUCAAUUCAAAUUCUCAAAUAUAUCAUCAUUCUUAUAAUUUAAUUUAUCCAUUUUCCUCUUUUUUUUUAUAAUCCUGACUUUUCUUAGGCCGUGUUUGAUUGCAGGAAAGUGAAUUCCUGGAAUUUACUUUCCUGCUUUUUCUAUGUUUGGUGACAACAAGGAAAAAUAGUCAAAGGAAAAUGAAUUCCAGUCAAUGGAAAAAUUAUAACGUUGCCAAAGGAAAGUGUUUUUCUUAUGUUAAAGAAAAGAAAACACUUUCCUUUUUUUUUUCCUUUUUUUUGCCUCCGGAGUCACAGCUAACACUGCCCUGGAAGAAGACGAUGAUGAAGGUGCAGUGGCUGACCAAAGUUUGCUCUCUCCUCUGUAUAAUCUCCCUCCCUCUAUUCGUUGCUUUUUUUUCUUUAAUCUUCUCUGUUUCCUUGAAAAUAAACAAAGGAACGAAAGUCAAUUUAUUUUCUCCUCUCCCUCCCCCCCCCGUUUCACUGGUUUUUUUGUGUUUGGGUUUAGCCUCUCCCUCUCUUUCGGUUCUUCUCUCCUCUCCUUCGUUGCUUUUUUUCUUUACCUCCUCUAUUUCCUUGAGAAGAAACAGAGGAACGAAAAGCCCGUUUAUUUUCUCCUCCCCCACCCUUUCGUUUCUAUGAUCCUCUUCUAUGGCCUUUCAUUCUCUGGCUUUUAUAGCCAGAGAACAAUGACGUUUCAUCCAUUGAUUGUAGGUGUAAUGGUGGCGGCGGGCGGCUGAACGGUUGAGGAAGAUGAACACUGUCUAGAAACGACACCGUUUUUGGUGUUUAAUGGUUAUUUCUAAUUUGGCCCUUGAAGUUUUAACAGUUUUGUAAUUAAGCUCCUGGUUUAAACUGUAAUUGGCCCCCUGUAUUUGCGCAAAAAUUUCAAUGUAGUCCUUGGAUUUUAAUUGUGCAAUUUUGACCCCAAACUUUAAUAGUUCUUCAAUUAAGUCCCUGCUUUAAUUAAUUUAAUUAAAUCCAAGUCCAAUUAAGUCUCAAAAAUUAUCAAUUCUCCAAUUAAACCCUUAAUUGGAUUAAUUAAAUUAAUUCCAAGCUUAAUUAAGUCUCAAAACUUAUCUAUUCUCCAAUUAAACCCUUAAUUGGAUAAAUUAAAUUAAUUCCAAGCUCAAUUAAGUCUCAAAACUUAUCAAUUCUCCAAUUAAACCCUUAAUUGGAUUAAUUAAAUUAAUUUCAAGCUCAAUUAAGUCUCAAAACUUAUCAAUUCUCAAAUUAAACCCUUAAUUGGAUUAAUUAAAUUAAUUUCAAGCUUAAUUAGAUUAAUUCCAAAGUUUAAUUAAACCCCAAAACUUCCAAUCAUUUUGCCAUUAACCCAAAUUUUAAUUCAUUCUUCAUUUAUUUCAUUUUACUUGUUUUUUCAUCAUCAUUUUUUUUAUUGUAAGUGAUUAAAUAUUUUAUAUGAAAUAUUUUAUAUAUAUUAGAUAAAUUUGAAAAAAAAAUUAAUUCAUUAAUAAAUUAUUUUCCAGUUCAUUUUCUAUAAUACAACCAAACACUAGAAAGUGUUUUCCAAUUCAUUUCCCAUAACCCUACCAAACAUCGGAAAAUACUUUUCCGGAAUUCACUUUCCCCGGAAUUCAUUUUCCAAAAGGAAUUCACUUUCCUGCAAACAAACGGAGCCUUAAUAUCAAUAAUAUUAUCCGGGGUUUUACAUUUUUGUUCUUAACCUUAAAGAUAUUUGUCUUUUUUACUAUGUUAGCUCACUAAUUACAAGCAAAAGACAUAUAUAUUUAAUUUUGAUUUCAUAGUUAGUUGUGCAUUCAGAGGUUUUUAAUCAUAAAAGCUUAUUUUUUAAAUUAUUUUUGGAUUAUUGUUGAGGCUACCCUUAAAAACUCUACCAACAUUUAACUAAAAAAACAUAAAACAUUUCUUUUACUUUGUAAAAAAGCUUUUAAGGAUUAGAAAGGUGACUGUGUUAGGUGUUCAGAAUAACAUGUAAUAACAAUAUAUGAAUUUUGAGAUACUAUUAUAAGAUUUCCCUAUGGUGUGUAUAUGUCAAGGUUUGUUAUGUCAUCAUUCAUCCUUUUCAAUUUCUUAGCUUUGUCUUGCUUUUGAGGACUACUACAACCUUCGAAGUUCCAUUCAAUCGCAGAUAUAAGAAAAUUAAACCAAUAAAGAAACAUAUUGUAUAUCCCAUAGUUUUAUAAUAUGGGAUUUUUUGUACUAUCAUUGAUUGUAUUGGUUUACAAACAUGUACUACUUUAGUUUUGUAUAUUACAUGUUAUUAUAGCUAUCUACAAGUGCAUAAAUUGUUUCUUUAAAACUGAGUUGAUUUAUCAUAUCAACUUUCUUAGAUGUUUUUUCAACAUACUUUACUCAUUUAUUCAUUUUAUAUAUAUAUAUAUGGUUGAUCGUUAUUUGUCACUUUUUUUUAUCAACAGGGUCACUUUGUUGAAAAGAGCCUUGUAUAUUAACCAUGGAUUUGGACCGCUAGCAAUCAUGAACUGAUUUUGCUCCAGAUUGUUAAACAAUUCAAAUCAAAUAAAGAAAAAAUACAAACAUAAAAAAGGAGAAGGCUAGGGUUUAAUAGAUUAUUUUAUUCUGAAAUUUAUCAUUUAACCUAAACACAAAAAUAUUAUAUAUAGAUCAAAUUAAAAAUAUUAUUCUACUCUUAAUAAAUAAAACAAAAUAAAUAUAUUUCUUAACAUCUCCAUUUUAACUCAUGAUGUGACAGUUACAAGCACAAGAGUUUGCCAACUAGAAAACAAAAACAGGAAAUAAAAUGUGACUUGGUAAAGAAAUUUGCAAUCCGCAAAGAAAAAGAAACAAAAGGCAAAGUAAUGGUGUUAUGCUUGAGAUGAUGAUGAGUAAGAUGACAAUCGAUCCCAAUAUGCUUAGUUCGUUCAUGAAAAAUUGAGUUAUGAGCAAUUUGAACUCUAGUUGUCACAAUACAUUGGAGUAUGAUGAGAAAUAAAGACUUUCAUUCUCGCAAGUAACCAAUGUAAUUAAAUAAUCUUUUUAGUAGUAGAUGUCAUAACACGAUAUUCUACUUCAAUUGAAGAUUAAGAAAUAAUAGAUCAUUUCUUGCUCUUCCAAGAAAUAAAAGAAUCACUUAAAAAGAUACAAAAUCCAGUAACAGAUUUAUGAUCUGUGGGGUCACUGACAUGAUCAACAUCAAAGUAUGCACGUAGCUUCAAGAAAGAGGUGGAUGGAAGUAAAAGACUCUGAAAGACUAUACCCUGAAAAUAUCAUAAAAUACAAAGAAUAAUUGCUCAAUGAACGAUAGUAAAAGAAGCAACAAACUAACUAACAACAUAAACAUUAUAUCCAAUAUCUGAAUGAGUAAUAGUGAUAUAUAUCAAUACCCAGUUAGCAACCUUGGUUUCAAGUUUUAAUUGUAACAAAGAUGACAUUAAAUUCCUCUUCUUUUUUUUUUCAGAAUGAUUGUACUCCUUUUAAGCCAUAUAUGUAUCUAUACUAUCUACCAUGCAAGGCACAUCUCCACUUUAGUGUUCCAUCAAGCACUAUAUACCUAUAUUAUUGUCCUUUCUUUUUACUAAGCAUAUGUUAUAAGAAUCUCCUAAAUGGCAUCGCAUUGUUAAUCUAAUAAGUUUUAGUCUUCCAUUUACACUUAAAAAAAAUUAGGUUGUUUGUUGUGCAAGGUUAAAAGAAAUUUUUUUACAACCCAUCACCAUCAUUUAUAUUUGUGCUUUGAAAAAAAAUUAUCUUUUUUCUUUUUGUCUACAUAGUGCAUGAUGUACUUCACUCAUAUCCGCUAAAUGAUUUUUCUAGCUUGAGAAGAUUAUUAGCUUCAAGUCCUAGUUCAAGAAGUUACCUUUUAAACUUUUUCACAUUCACACACAAAACUUAUAUUGUUUUUUUUUUUUUAUUACAGGAUGAAUGGUUUAAAUCCAGUAGAUGUGUUCAUUCAAUAGAUGAGUCAAUGGCAUUUCUAUCCUUAUUUUUGCAUAGAAAAUUUGGAAACCUUAUCUCUAUUUGCAUAUAUUUUUGUUUAAAACUUUUGUAUGGGACUUUAUGACUUUGUUUUAUUUGGUAUAAUUAGCACCAAACGAUCCAACUUUUGCUAUUUUGCUUUGUAUUUUCCUUCACCCUUGCAAAAUACACUGUGAAAUCUUACUUCGUCAAGGCAUUAAAAGGUGGCCUGUAGAGUAACACAUAGAAUCUAUCUAGUUUUUGCUAGAUCUGCUAAUUUGUGGGCCAUAGCAUUUCCAUCUCUCUUAAAAAAUUUCCCACUAAAAUCAUUGAAACAAGAAGUCAAGUGAACUAUAUCAGCUACAACAACCACCAAGGAUGAGCAUGAACCAUCUUAAAAGGAGUUGUUUAGUUAGUUUACCAAAUACAAGGAGUCUGAUUCCAGUAUAAAAUUAAACCAGCUCAUAUCCCUUAUUAAUUGAAUAUUAUAGAGACCAACACAUGCUUUUACUAAACAAAGAAUGAGGAUGAAUAUUCUUAUAAGCACUUGAUAGAACUUGCCCACAUGUUAGGUUUUAAAUACUCUGCUGCAAGCGGAGUAGCGGAAUAUUGGAAGUUAGCAAAAAUUGCUUUUAUUGUGUUAAAAGAAAUACUAGUUAAUCAUCAUGCUUUGAAAAGUUAUGCUAGGUCUUUUAGUUUUAGAAGGUUAUGUUAUUACAAAUGCAAUAGUCAAUUCCUCUUCUAUGUUAAAUUCAUAUUGACAAAUUAAAGCAUUGGUAGCCAAGACAUAUAUAGAAGAGAAUAUUUUUUAAGUUAGCAAUUAAAAUUAACAACUAACAUUAACAUUAAUUGACGAACAUACUAAAAAUCUAGGGUGCACAUUUGUUAAUCUUAGGCCUUGGACUUUUUAAAUUGCAAUUUCAUCCUCCUAAUAUGAUCAUGAUUUUAUAGGUUGAGGUGUCUUUUGAUUUAUAUUUUCUCUUACACAUAAAAUGUUUAGGGAUAUUUUGGUAAUGAAUUAAAGACCAAUUCUAUAAAAAUAAAAAUUUAUUGGUACUUAAAAAGAGAAAUUCAAAAAAUAAAGACCAAAAGUAACAAACAAAACAAAACAGACCCCUGUAUUGAUAUUGGUAUGAAAAAUCUCAAUUUGCUUCUUUACAUUUUAGUUUAUAUAUUGUUUGGGCUUUAAAAUUUCAAUAUUUUAUAUUUUGAUCUAAAACUUUAUUUUUCUUACGUUUAAGUACUUGAAAGAUGAGAGAGGAAAGAGAAAGUGAGAAUAUUAUAAGUUAUUGAUAUUCUAGCUAACAAAAAAGGUAAUCUCGGGUCAAUGUAUUUGAAUUGUUUAUGGAAGUUUGAUGGAGGUGGCUUUUCCCUCUCACGAUGUCAAAAAGAAUAAUUACGACAAAUAUAUUAAAAGAACUAUGGUGUUCAUAUAUUUUUUUCUGUUUUAAUCUUCAAACUUUUUUAUUUGUAAUUUCAUCCUUCUAAGAUAUAUUAUCAUGAUUUUAUGGGUUGGGAUGUCUUUUAAUUUUAUUUUCUUAAAUACAUAAAGUGUUUUGGGAUAUUUUGAUGAUGAAUUGAAAAUCAAUUGCAAAAUAAAAAUUUAUCGGUAGUUAAGAAGAGAAAUUGGAAGAAUAAGGACUAAAAACACAAACAAAACAGCCUGCAUUUUGAUAUUGGCUUAGAAAAUUUUAAUUUUCUCCCUGCUCUUUCUAGUUUAUCUAUUGUUUAGUCCAUGAAAUUUUACAUUUCACUUUGUGAUCCAAAUUUAUUUUUUUUACAUUUUAGUCCCUAAAAGUUGAGAGAUAAGAGAAAAGGUAGUAUCAUUUAGGAAAGAUAAAGUUAUCGAUUGUCGAUAUACCAGCCAUUAAAAAGGAUGAUCUUGAUAUCAGUGGGUUGGGAUUUUUAUGAGAGAAAAAAGCACAUGGGUCUAGGUUUCUCAAUCCAGGGGGGUUGUGCUCUUGGACAGGUGGUAAGUUGUGUAGGACUAGCUUGUCGGACCCAAUAGUGCAUAACCUCUUUUUUUUUUUUUUUUUUAGAUUUUGAUUAUUUUUUUAAAAAAAAAUGUUAAUUAAUACCCUCUUUUUAAGUAUUUUUAAUUUUUAUUAAUUUAAAGUAAUACUCUCUUGCUUUUUUUUUAAUUGUUCAAUUCACUAUUUUAAAUCUCAGGGGUUUUUAUAAUUACUUUAUAUUUUUAUAAUGUUUCAAUGUAAUUUAUAUUUGAUAUAAAUAAAUUGUAUUUACAUUAUGUAUUUAUAAAAAAAAAAAUAAAUAUUAUUUUGUAUCUAUAAGAACAAAAGUCAUUUGUUUCUUUGUAAGAAAGAAUAUCCUCUAAGAUAAAAUAAAAUAAAAUAAAAAUUGGGGUUAAAUAUUUGCAUUAGUAGCUCUCUUGAUAGCUUAGGUUUAAAUGAUUAAAGCAAAUCAAAAACCCUGCGGCCUAGGUACAAGCACUCACAAUCCUGAAGCAAGCAGCAUUACACAUUGAACUUGUAAGUAGAGUCAUUACAAAGGCUGUCUGACAUGAUUUAGAGCUAGCAAAGGCAAGUUCCUUCCUUCCCAAUGAUAAACUAGCCACGUUCUCCAGGACCAUAAUACACAUCCAUAUAGGAGCAUUUUGUUCUACACCAGUUGAGGAUUUAUUGAAGUUUCAAGACCAUGGCACAAGGGAGCUUCUAUCUCACUCACCCAGUUUCUGGAGCUCAUCUUUAAAUUUGGACUUCAGCCGCUCCCUCUUUAUCUUGAGGGAGGCAGUAACCAAGCCAGACUCGGGUGUCCAUGGAUCUGGCAGCAACUUGAUCUUAGCUGGAGUUUCAAACUUGUCCAACCUCGAAGCUUUUGCUACCUGCAGAGAUAGAAUGCUAUCAGAUCUACAGCAAGGAUUCUGUUUCUUCCACUAAAUAUAUUAACAACAGCAAAUGUGCUUGCCUGACAUCAACAAACCAUAAACCUUUCCUUCCAAAUAUGCAGACAAAUGCAAACAGAUUCAAAAGGUCACAUAAUGAAACAAUGUAUAAGAAUUUCCAUCCAAGAAUUUACAUCAGGUACAUCUUGAUAGAUGAGGCAAGUACAUCUCGCCAGAAGACCGGGAGACAUAAAUGCACGUGAAAUUCAAAGCAUAGUCACAAAAUCAGAAGCUAUGGAAAUAUUCAUUCAUGUUUCAUCUUGGAAAUAUGACCGAGCUCAACAACACUAAGAGAGUUCACACGUUUGUGUUCAGCAGUUUUAACUAAUCAAAAGCAUUUCAAAUAGCUUUCCCGUAGACAAGCAAAGAUAAUUCAAAUCAUCAUCACCAAAUCAGAAGAUAUGUCAAUAUUCAUUCAUGUUUCAGCUUGGAAAAUGAACGAAUUCAGCAAUAAUAAGAGCUCCCGUGUAUGAAAGUUUUAACUAAUCAUAAGAUUUAAAGUAGCUCUCCAGUAAGCAGCAAGCAAAAUAAACCAACCUUGGAAACUGAUUGUUCAACCUCACUGACAGCAUCGGCUUCGUUACACAGUUCAGAAAAGUUUUGGUGCUGGAUGCCAGCUUCCUGGGCCCACUUCUCAAGCAUGUGACGCGAUGGAACAAUUAGGGCAACACAAUAGUUGUGGAAGGGAUUUGCAUGUACCAUGAUAUUAUCAACAUAGUUACUCGAUGUUAAUGCUGCCUCCACCUGCAAUCAGGGCACAAAUCAACCUUAUUGGCACAUCAAUGCAUAUGUAUGUACCCUAGAAAUACUAUCACAAAUUUUCAGGUUAAGAUUUAUAAACACCUUUCCAAGAGAGAUAUAUUCUCCAUGUUGAAGUUUGACGAUAUCCUUCUUCCUAUCAAUAAUUUCAAGGCAUCCAUCAGGGUGAAACUGCCCAAUGUCGCCAGUAUAGAACCAACACAUGCCCCUUUCAUCAACCUAUAGCAGGUCAAGAAAACCAGUUUUCCAUGUCUGAGCACACAGCAGAGUAAAAGCAAAAGGAAAAUGCACGUUCUCACCCAUUCAGAAAACAUAUGUGUGCGCUCAUGCAAGUACACUAAAGAAUACCUUGUAGACCUCUUUAGUCUUUUCUUGGUAGUUGAAGUAACCGGCAGUCACGCUGAAUCCCCCAACUACAACCUCACCCCGGGGCAUUGGCUUGUCGGCCACUGUAUACCCACCUUCUUCCCAAGAAACAAGCUACAAUACCAAAACAAAGCAGUUCUUCAAACUAAUAUUCAAAAAUCUUACAAAGUGAGCAUCCCUGCCUCUGCAACUAUGUUUUUUUUCACAAAAUGUGAGGUUCAGUUUGACCAUAACCUUGAAAAAGUAAUUAAUGUCAUGAAUAACAGCUUUCGGUUGAUUGGUUAAUGGAAAUUCUUUUUGGAGUAUAGGCUAGUGCAAGUUAAGAUGCAGCAUCCUAAAUAGAAUUUUCAGAAUUCUCUCUGAAAACCAAGUCUGGUUCAGAUCGUGAAACUAAAUAAUUUUUUCCUUUUGUAGAAAGAUGCCAUACCUUAACAUAGCAACAUGGAAGAGGAGGUCCAACACGGCCCACGGAUGGGUCAUCCCACUCAGUGUAAGCAGCUCCAGCAUAUGUUUCUGUCAACCCAUAUGCUUGACCAAUUAUAGCCCUGAAGACAAUAAUUGUGCACUGAAUAUCAACCUAAAUUGAUAACACUGAGAGUGGAAAUAUAGUAUGUUAUAAAUACCAUUUUUCAUAAGUAAACCAUUUUAAGCACUGAAGGACUGAUCUAGCAUGGUAGAGAGCUUAUUAUCCCAAACUCGUAUUUCAUGGUUUUAAAAUCUAAUAACACCACAUGUUUUAUGUUCCCAAUUACUGGUAAUAAGUAUCUAGGUUUUUUAUCUCCCCUAUCAGACCAUACAAUAGCAGAUCCAAGAGCACAACAAAGUUACUUCCUGGUGUCCAGGAUACAAGAUGGUUUCUGCCGAACAUUAAUUAGGUUCUGAUGAAUAGCACAGCCAACUAUAAUAUAUUGUCUCCUAAAGAUGACACUGGAAAAGGGAAUGAAAGGAGUUGCGAAGGAAAAAAUCAGAAUGAAUAUAGAAGUUUCUUCCUUUAAUUAUCUUGGUAUUUGCAAAUGAGAAUGUCAUUACCCCAUGCAGAUGUUGGUGAACCGUUGUGAAUCCCCAGAUAAAGGGGCUCCGCCACAUAGGAUGAAUUUCAUACGAACUCCAAGUAUAGCACGUAUUUGUUUGAAGGCAAUGACAUCCCAUAGCAUUCUCUCCAGUGCCGAAGCACCAAACCAGCUUCCUUCUAUGGCUGCCAUUCGGCGCUUAAAUCCAAUGUUGAAAAGCUUCUUUGCUAACCCUCCCUUCUCCUCAACCUGAUGUGAAUCAAAAAGGCAUUAAAGAAAUUAUUUAACUAACGAUGAGGGCAUUCUCCACUUCCACAAAUGCAUUAAUAACCAGUACUGUAGAAGUGCAGAUAUUAAUGUUGAUUCAAUUCACACCUUUUUUAGAACUCCAUCCCGGACACGAUCUAGUAUGGCUGGAACAGCUAUCAUGAGAGUAGGAUUUAAUAUAGAUGCAUCACCCUUGGUUCCUUUCUUAAUUUUGUUAGAAGUGUCUGUCAAAGUCAAUGCCGAACCAUAGCCAAUAGCACAACCUACAGACAACAUAACAGACUGGACAACCACAAAAUUUAGUAUUUAUAUGUUAUAUGUUACAAGUAGCACAGGAAAGAACUAUAUGUAAUCAAGUACCUCAGCUGCCAGUUCAAAAACAUGGGCUAGGGGCAAAUAAGCCAAAUAUACAUCAUUGCUACUCAGUUUUGGAAUCACCGUCAUAACAGCUGCAGCAGUGGCUACAAUGUUGCCAUGAGUAAUCAUGACUCCCUAGGUUGUAACCAGGAUGCAGGGUCAGAUCAAAAGAAAGCAUGCAAUUGCAGUGAUGAAGUAAUAAUGAAGUUGGAAUUCAGUUCUAGUAGGAAAAAAGUAAAGGAAAAUAAAAAUGCACUGCUCUUUACUACAUUCCUACUUGUCUCAAUAUACAAAAUUAAGCCUUUCCAUUCUAACAAACAACUUGCACUUGAAGUUUCAUUAUUAUCUGUGUCUUGAAAAAUAAAAUACUGGACUCAAGCCUAUUUUCUGUAUGGACAUAUGCAACCAGAGAGUGAUCUUCUGAUUCAUCUUCUUUACAGUAAGGUCUAUUGGCAAGAUUUACCAUGCAUUGAGUUUCAAUCAGUGAUGCAAAAUGAGAGAAACUACAGCACCGGACAAACCUUUGGCUGGCCUGUGCUGCCACUUGUGUACAUAACAACAGCAAUUCCAUUCUUUGUAGGUAAGCUUGGAGGAACAGGACUGUUCUUCCCCAGUUCCUCAACUUCAGAAAAAGAUGAAACCUUCCAAUAGCUUGUGCUUGCAGAUAAGCCCAAAUCAUUUGUAGUUUCUCCAUCUUCAAAGUAAAUGACAUUCUUAAUAGUUGUUAUUUUUGAGCUUAUUGCAGCUAGCGUUUUCAACUGCUUGGGAUCACAGAUCAGGGUAGAUACUUGAGUCUGUCCACAUUUUCAAAAUUCAAGUGAGAGCCAUAAGAAUCUAGACUUCCAUAGAGAAAAAAGUAAAUGAUUUAAAUGCCACAAAUUAGUUACAUUAUAGAUAAUCUAAUCAGGUAAAGCAAGUGCACGAAGAGAAUCCCAUACCUCAUUGAGGGAAUGGAUCAAAGCAUCCACACCUAGAGAAGCAUAAAUAGUGACAACAGUAAUGUUCUGCCGAAAGCAUCCCUGUACUCCAACAAAAACAACAUUCAGUAUUGGCUGUACAUCCAUCAUUUAUCAGGGAUAAAAAGAAAAGGAAACAUAUAAGCACUGCAAGCACGAGGAUACCUGAAAGGCAAUCAACCACUCAGCCCGAGUAUCAGCAAAAAUUGCAGCACGAGUAUCCUCUUUAUGCCCUAACAUAAUAAGCCCGGAUGCAAAGUUACAAACACGAUCAAAAACCUGUCCAUAGGUCUGCCAUUCAUAAUCACCCAGGUGCAGCUUCUCAAACUUCCUACCAUCACUAGCAGUAACAAAUUCCUUGCUAAUUAGCUUCCUUGUUCCAAGAAAUCGUUCUGGCGAAUGCUUUCUACAAGACUGCUCAAAUAGAGCUGCCAUGGUUGUUGCCCCUUUCCAAGGGAAUUCAACUAGCUCAGCAUGCCGGGCAUUGCGAACUGCAUAACCUGCCUCACCGCCUACCUCUACCGGGACUCCUCUUUGUUUCACCUUUUUCUUUCCCAUGAAGAUAGUAGAAAGUAAUAUAGGUAUGAGGAUAGAAGCAGCAGCAGCCACAAUGCCAUAUGUUCCAUAGCCUUUCCCAACUGACGAGUAAUCAUUAGAGUCCAAUUUAUCUAGAAAAGGUGAGCUCAGAAACCU
rnacentral:lncRNA from 1 species